GAAGCCUACGGGACGCAGCAGUGGGGGAUAUUGCACAAUGGGCGCAAGCCUGAUGCAGCGACGCCGCGUGAGCGAAGAAGUAUUUCGGUAUGUAAAGCUCUAUCAGCAGGGAAGAAAAUGACGGUACCUGACUAAGAAGCUCCGGCUAACUACGUGCCAGCAGCCGCGGUAAUACGUAGGGGGCAAGCGUUAUCCGGAUUUACUGGGUGUAAAGGGGGCGCAGACGGCGAUGCAAGCCAGGAGUGAAAGCCCGGGGCCCAACCCCGGGACUGCUCUUGGAACUGCGUGGCUGGAGUGCAGGAGGG
rnacentral:rRNA from 1 species